rnacentral:rRNA from 1 species
AUUGAACGCUGGCGGCAGGCCUAACACAUGCAAGUCGAGCGGAUGAAGGGAGCUUGCUCCUGGAUUCAGCGGCGGACGGGUGAGUAAUGCCUAGGAAUCUGCCUGGUAGUGGGGUAUAACGUCCUGAAACGGGCGCUAAUACCGCAUACGUCCUGAGGGAGAAAGUGGGGGAUCUUCGGACCUCACGCUAUCAGAUGAGCCUAGGUCGGAUUAGCUAGUUGGUGGGGUAAAGGCCUACCAAGGCGACGAUCCGUAACUGGUCUGAGAGGAUGAUCAGUCACACUGGAACUGAGACACGGUCCAGACUCCUACGGGAGGCAGCAGUGGGGAAUAUUGGACAAUGGGCGAAAGCCUGAUCCAGCCAUGCCGAGUGUGUGAAGAAGGUCUUCGGAUUGUAAAGCACUUUAAGUGGGGAGGAAGGGCAGUAAGUUAAUACCUUGCUGUUUUGACGUUACCAACAGAAUAAGCACCGGCUAACUUCGUG